UACGGAGGAUGCGAGCGUUAUCCGGAUUUAUUGGGUUUAAAGGGUGCGUAGGCGGGCUUUUAAGUCAGCGGUAAAAAUUCGGGGCUCAACCCCGUCCGCCGUUGAAACUGGGGGCCUUGAGUGGGCGAGAAGAAGGCGGAAUGCGUGGUGUAGCGGUGAAAUGCAUAGAUAUCACGCAGAACCCCGAUUGCGAAGGCAGCCUUCCGGCGCCCUACUGACGCUGAGGCACGAAAGUGCGGGGAUCGAACAGG
rnacentral:rRNA from 1 species